rnacentral:rRNA from 1 species
CUCAAAUAAUGUGUGGG